ensembl:Mt_tRNA
CAAAGUGUAGCUUACAACCAAAGCAUCCGGCUUACACCCAGAAGACUUCAGAUAGACUGACCACUUUGA